UACGGAGGGUGCAAGCGUUAUCCGGAUUCACUGGGUUUAAAGGGUGCGUAGGCGGGCAUGUAAGUCCGUGGUGAAAUCUCUGAGCUUAACUCGGAAACUGCCAUGGAUACUAUUUGUCUUGAAUGUUGUGGAGGUAAGCGGAAUAUGUCAUGUAGCGGUGAAAUGCUUAGAUAUGACAUAGAACACCAAUUGCGAAGGCAGCUUACUACACAAAUAUUGACGCUGAGGCACGAAAGCGUGGGGAUCAAACAGG
rnacentral:rRNA from 1 species